UACGAAGGGGGCUAGCGUUGCUCGGAAUCACUGGGCGUAAAGGGUGCGUAGGCGGGUUUUUAAGUCAGGGGUGAAAUCCUGGAGCUCAACUCCAGAACUGCCUUUGAUACUGAAGAUCUUGAGUUCGGGAGAGGUGAGUGGAACUGCGAGUGUAGAGGUGAAAUUCGUAGAUAUUCGCAAGAACACCAGUGGCGAAGGCGGCUCACUGGCCCGGUACUGACGCUGAGGCACGAAAGCGUGGGGAGCAAACAGG
rnacentral:rRNA from 1 species